rnacentral:lncRNA from 1 species
UUUUUUUUAAAUUCGGAAUAAUAAUAGUAAUUUCUGGAGUUUUAAUGCUUCGAAUGAGAGUUUGCUCUGUUGGAUUUGGAAGGCAGUUUGGGUCGUCGUUAUUCUGUUACGGUUGUGUCAUGGAAACCAGAUGUAUCACCAAAACAAUAGGUACUGACAGCUGGUGCACUUCCUGUAUUCCGUGUGUCGGACCGCAUACCUCACGGUCUGUCGGACACAACCAGAUAUAUAUAUGUACACCUAUAUAUACAGUAUAUAUAUAAAAAAAAAAAUUAUAGUAAAUUAUAUACACGAGAGAGAGAGAGGGGGUAGAAC